UACGGGGGGGGCAAGCGUUGUUCGGAAUUACUGGGCGUAAAGGGCGCGUAGGCGGCCCGCUAAGUCGAACGUGAAAUCCCCGAGCUCAACCCGGGAACUGCGUCCGAUACUGGCGGGCUUGAAUCCGGGAGAGGGAUGCGGAAUUCCAGGUGUAGCGGUGAAAUGCGUAGAUAUCUGGAGGAACACCGGUGGCGAAGGCGGCAUCCUGGACCGGCAUUGACGCUGAGGCGCGAAAGCUAGGGGAGCAAACGGG
rnacentral:rRNA from 1 species